GCAGGCCUGGUGCUUGCCUCGAGUUGAGCACAUAAGCGCUAGACCCAUUAUUUUCAGGGCCUUCCAUUGUUCUUCUACAUCCCAAAGACAAAUUUCUUCAUCAAGAAAACAAAGGAAAUUGUUGCCUCUAUGCAAGAUCUUCCUCACCCAGAAAACAAUGUUAAUCUGGGUUUACUCAGAGCUUAUUUGGCGCUACUAUUGGUUUGUUUGUUAUUCGAAUUACCCUGCAUAGAAUAAUUUCAUUUAUUACAGUUUUUAUGUUAAGUGAACAUUUUCCAAUUGGAUUUGGAGUUCAGUUUAUUUAAUUGCAGCGAAGGUUGUAGUUGAUGAACUUGCAUGUCUUUUAAAGGAAGCGGAAGCUGUAGUGCAAUCGAUUAAUUGCAGUUUGGUUCAAGUUGGGGAACUAAAUGUUGACAAUGGUACAAAUUUGUUAGCGAAAACGUGAAAAUAAAGAAUAAGGAAGAACAAAAUGAUCCUACGUCCACCAAAGAACAACUGCACCAAUGUUUUAUUUCACUCUACAAAGAAUACAAGUAAAGUACUACAAGAGAAAAGAUCAAAUGUCUUAGAAGGUGAGAAGACAAGUGAGAGGAUGUUUUGAAAAUGAAUUAAGAGCUACCUAUUUAUAGGAAUAAAUUAUUGUGUGAGAAGAUAGUCAAAAGCCCCCCCAAC
rnacentral:lncRNA from 1 species